rnacentral:rRNA from 1 species
UACAGAGGGUGCGAGCGUUAAUCGGAAUUACUGGGCGUAAAGCGCACGUAGGCGGCUUGGUAUGUCGGGUGUGAAAUCCCCGGGCUCAACCUGGGAACUGCAUCCGAAACUGCCUUGCUCGAGUAUGGGAGAGGGAAGUGGAAUUCCUGGUGUAGCAGUGAAAUGCGUAGAUAUCAGGAGGAACACCGAUGGCGAAGGCAGGUCUCUGGGCUGACACUGACGCUCAUGCACGAAAGCGUGGGGAGCAAACAGG